rnacentral:lncRNA from 1 species
AGGUCAAUUCAGGUGAUGCCUUGCGAACCCGAAUAUCAUCAUGUGGUGCGCUCUCACAGAUUCGACGUUCUUUCCCAAAUAUCAUUCCAUCGGAAGAAGUGGUGGCCAUCAUUCCUCACGAUUGUCGCUCACUCCAGUCAAAUCCACCUUAAAUACAUCAUGGAUUAUGAAAUGUAGGGGCACCAUCUACAAUCAACGCAUGGGAAGUCCGAUGGGAG